GAUGAAGAACGCAGUGAAAUGCGAUACGUAAUGUGAAUUGCAGAAUUCAGUGAAUCAUCGAAUAUUUGAACGCACAUUGCGCCCGCCAGCACUCUGGCGGGCAUGCCUGUUCGAGCGUCAUUUCAACCAUCAAGCCCCAGGCUUGCGUUGGAGCCCUGCGGCUGCCGCAGCCUCCUAAAAGCAGUGGCGGGCUCGCUAUCACACCGAGUGCAGUAGAUUACUCUUCGCUCAGGGCGUGCAGCGGGUUCCGGCCGUGAAACCCCCUACUUUUAAAGGUUGACCUCGGAUCAGGUAGGAAUACCCGCUGAACUUAAGCAUAUCAAUAAGCGGAGGA
rnacentral:misc_RNA from 1 species